rnacentral:rRNA from 1 species
CGUUAGCGGCGGACGGGUGAGUAACACGUGGGUAACCUACCUAUAAGACUGGGACAACUUCGGGAAACCGGAGCUAAUACCGGAUAAGAUAUCGAACCGCAUGGUUCGAUAGUGAAAGAUGGUUUUGCUAUCACUUAUAGAUGGACCCGCGCCGUAUUAGCUAGUUGGUGAGGUAACGGCUCACCAAGGCAACGAUACGUAGCCGACCUGAGGGGGUGAUCGGCCACACUGGAACUGAGACACGGUCCAGACUCCUACGGGAGGCAGCAGCA